UGUGCUGAACUGGAGAGGCAACACC
rnacentral:piRNA from 1 species